UUCAUGAGGCCAUGACUUCUUCAUACCACAGGGGGUGGAAGUGGAAUGCUGAGGUCAUCUCUGAUGUUGUACUCAGAGGAGUAGAGCUUAGGUUGAAGGAGGGGCUAAGCUCCAGCCUCUGCAUGAAAGCCUUAUGGCAACAGCAUUGCAUUUCAAUCCCAUGUGCAGCAAAGGUGGGGUUAGUAACUGACUAACCACUGGAGGGAGAGGAUAUCUACAACCCUACGUGGAAUGAAACCUACCACUGAAGGAGAGGGAGUCCGAGCGCUGACCCAAUCAACAUGAGAACAAAGGACACCCAUGGACACAGCCUAUGUUGACCAUCUGGAGUCUAAGCAGGCUGGAGGUUUACAAAGACAAAGAACCCAAGAAGUGUUCCGAGAAAAGGAGGGGGGCCUGGGCUACGAAACAAUACCCUGGGACUGUAUACAAGAAGAAUUGGCCCAAGUGCUUAUCCAUUAUAGGUUAGAACUGCCAGUCAGAAGGGGAGGUCUCAUGAACAGUGGACCCCAGCUUUAUGGGCUGGACAAGCACUGGAAGGACUAACCAUUUGGGUAAGAAAUACCUUAUUAGACAGGAAAGUAACUUGUUAAUAAGUAAAGACUAUAGACUGUGUUGUAUAUUUUUUUAACCUGUUACCAAAUCCUUUUACUUGCUUUUAUUUUAAAUUUUCAUCUCAAGCUCUAUUAAAUAAACAUUAAUUUGGUUUUGCUAUA